CGAACUCAUGAGCCCUGACUCCAAAGCCCAUGCUCUUUCCACUGAGCCACGCUGCUUCUCGAGAAAGAGUCCUUCGAGCCGGAAUCGAACCAGCGACCUAAGGAUAUGCAGUAUGAGACAACUACAGUCCUCAGCUCUACCAGCUGUUCCACCCGUCACGGCCCUCUGGAGUUCUCCACAGCCACGAGGCUCUUGACCGUGCAGGUUUUGGCUGUCUGUGCGUGGCCCAUGACUUGUGGAGAGGAGCAUAAUGGGGAAUCUGGGCUGAGACCAAAACAGUGUGGGGCUUCUGGAAGGGCAACAGUUGUUCAUGGAAACUGCAUUAAGCAGAGGCAUGCCGACUCCCGGCCGGGACCACAUCGACAGCAGUGAGGUGUGAGAACUCAUUCUCCUGGAGACUGAAGUGUUUGGCAGCAGAUGAGGAUCUCCAAGGGCAGUACGGGGAAACCGGGAUGUUCAGGCUCACGGAUUCAAGGCCAGUUUCCUCAACCCCAGAUGGUUUUCAGCCAGGACUGGUGGAGAAGCUCCACUAACAGCUGCUCCUGGCACCCAGAGGAGGUCUGGGGGUGUCUCUCAAGAUUUUUCCAUUCCCUUGCCACCUCCAUGUGUUGCUGGUACAGACACGGAAAGGGGCCCAUAAUGCAUCCUUUGGGGUAGGGUGGCCAAGGAAGGAAUCUGACCAGCUAUUUCUCUCCAGAGAGAAUGCAUCAUCCUGGCCUUGGGUACCAACCCCUUUGCAGUGUGGGCACAGUCGAGUCAAUGCCCUGACUUGUCCCACCAGUGAGGGAUUGAACUGUGGGGACCAUGUUGCCACCACAAAGGAAAGGAGAUAUUGUGUGUCUGGAUGAGUGUGUGUGUGUGUGAGAGAGAGAGAGGGUGUAGUAGAGAAUAAUGGGGCUAGCAAAUGGGGAAGGAUAGUUAGGAGAAGGCUACCACUCUUGGUAUGGAGGCAGGUUAAGGAACUGGGCCUGGGGCUCUUUGCGGCGAACGGGUUUUGUCCGCCUUAAGGCCAGAGAAGAUCUGGGGCCCUUAAUUCUCGAGUUGGGUCCAAUUUCUCUUCACUCACCAUCGUGUUGGCAGGGUCAGCCAGUACACUCCAAGGCCCUGGAGAAAGCACCUGCCUAGCCUGUCGAGAAUCGGGCAGAGGACUGUCAGUGUAUCUACGCCAUUCUUCUCUGAAAAGCAGAGUUAGGAGAUGGAGUAUCAUUGGUGCGGACAGGGUGCGUGGAGUGCCAGCAUCGUACUCAAAACUGAGUUUGGUCCAGUUUGGGUUGUACCUGAAGUCCCUGGCGUACAAGCUCCUCCUGGACUAACAGCUUUGAAAGCGUCGAUUCUCCCAGAGAUGUAAGUAUGCGGCGAUGUAGCUGUGGUCCUCAGCCGUAGACGGAGGGCACGGUCAGGAACACAAACCUUCAACAUCACUAGCACGGCCAUCCUCCGCCGAGGUAACGUAACGACGUCGGCCGGGACCGGCGGACGAGCUCCGGUGAUAACUCGGACCGACGGUCCCGGGUCGCGUACCGUUUUGCCCGACGAGACCUCGGCGGAGCACCAUCAGACCCCUCAUGCCACGGAGGGCUGUGGUGGAGAAUCCAGGCACUAGGAACCCCUCAAGGAUCACCUAGCCACUUGGAGGCCCCCGGCUGUCGCGGAGACGUCUGCAUCCGGCGAUUCAGAGGCGGUUCUCGCCUGAGGACGGAGGGCAGGCCGAGCGAGGCAAACCUGGGGAUCACAGAUCGACGCGUUCCCGCCGAGGUUUCGGAUGCACGUCGGCCAGGACCGGCGGAGCGGCUCCGCUCGUCCCCCACCUUCGUCGGACCGAUGCUCCGGGGUCUGGUACCGUGUCGCCGGGAGAGGCCUCGGCGGCGGGUCCCCGGAGUCGCUUGUUCUAACGGCUCUGAUACGCGGUGGGAAAUUGCACGGCCUCAAGUCCCUGCCGUCCAUGGUUUGGGGUGGAAUGGGAGAGGGAAGACUCUGACUAGCGAUUACUUUCUCUACAGAGAGUACUGUACUCUCUUUACGGUCUCUAUCCAUUGCUAAAAUGUGCCCCUAGUUCUCCAUUCAAACUGC